rnacentral:pre_miRNA from 1 species
AGCUUUUUGAAUCCGUGCUGAGAUUUCAUCAUAUACCAACCCAUUAGGGCUGAUCAGACUUCCAAUAAAAGUGAAGUU